AAAAAAAAAAAGGGAGGAUAGGGGGAGGAGAAAUAUUGAGAAAAUUCAGAGCUAUUUAGAGAUAUUUUAGAGCUAUAGGAAAUUUAGAGAGAUAUUCAACUCUUUUGGUUCUUUUCUUUUCUUCAGGAAGAUUUUCUUGCAAGAUUUUUCUUGAAGGUUGGUUUUUAUCAUUUUCUUUUCAAGAUCUAUGCCCUGUAAUAAUUAGUUCUGUGCUCUGUCUUCUAAUUUAUCUUGCAUGUUCAU
rnacentral:misc_RNA from 1 species